rnacentral:rRNA from 1 species
CGGUAAUUCCAGCUCCAAUAGCGUAUACUAAAGUUGUUGCAGUUAAAAAGCUCGUAGUUGGAUUUCUGCGGGGACGGAGCGGCCGGUCGCAACUUGCGACUCGAGCUAGCGCUUUCCCCGCAUCCUGCCGCGAACCGUGCUACCAUUAGUUUGGUGGCGCUGGGGAUCGGCUCGAUUACUUUGAGAAAAAUAGAGUGUUCAAAGCAGGCCACACGCCUUGAAUAAGUUAGCAUGGAAUAAUGACUAAGGACUUUGGUUCUUUUCGUUGGUGUUCGGGACUGAAGUAAUGAUUGAUAGGGACAGUUGGGGCGGUCCGUAUUCCAAAGCGAGAGGUGAAAUUCUUAGACCUUCGGAAGACGAACAGCUGCGAAAGCGUUCCGCAAGGAUGUUCCCUUUGAUCAAGAACGAAAGUUGGGGGAUCGAAGACGAUCAGAUACCGUCGUAGUCUCAACUAUAAACUAUACCAGCUAGGGAUCGGCCAACGUUUAAUUAUUCGACUUGGUCGGCACCUUAUGAGAAAUCAAAGCAUCUGGGUUCCGGGGGGAGUAUGGUCGCAAGGCUGAAACUUAAAGGAAUUGACGGAAGGGCACCACCAGCCGUGGAGCCUGUGGCUUAAUUUGACUCAACACGGGAAAACUUACCAGGUCCGGACAUAGUAAGGAUUGACAGAUUGAUAGCUCUUUCUUGAUUCUGUGGGUGGUGGUGCAUGGCCGUUUUUAGUCGGUGGAUGUGAUCUGUCUGCUUAAUUGCGUUAACGGACGAGACCCCAGCCUGCUAAAUAGCGCGGCCGAGCUUUGCUCGGUGCGAGCUUCUUAGAGGGACCAUGAUGCGCGAUAGCACAAGGAAGUUUGGGGCAACAACAGGUCUGUGAUGCCCUUAGAUGUUCUGGGCCGCACACGGGCUACACUGGCGCCUGCAACGAGCAUAUCAGCUGGCCCGAGAGGGUCUUGGCUAAUCUUUGGAACCGGCGCCGUGCUUGGGAUUGACCAUUGCAAUUGUUGGUCAUGCAACGAGGAAUGCCUUGUAAACGCGAGUCAUCAGCUCGCAUUGAAUACGUCCCUGCCCUUUGUACACACCGCCCGUCGCUCCUACCGAUGAAUGUUCCGAUGAAAUUUUCGGAGAGCACCAGAGAACGGGGCUCUGCCUUGCAGAUCUGGAGGCUCAAAGUCACUUAAAUCUGAACAUUUCGAGGAAGGAGAAGUCGUAACAAGGUAACC